AUAGGUGUCUCCUUGGCCACUAGAGGUGGAUUUUGUUGAAGGCAGAUUCAAGAAGGGUGAACAUCUAUGAGACGUUUGAGAAGAAGAUAAAUGAAAAGCAUGCUCUGUUAAGAAAGAGUGGUCGUGGGCUAGCUGUUUCUUGGGCUUUAUGUGCUGUAUGCAUCUUUGGCCAUCUCACUUACUUCUUUGGAACCAAGGCACCAUGGAUCCAUGCAUUGCAUUCCACAGGAUUUCAUUUGUCUUUGUGUCUAUUUACAUUGCUUGGCCCUGGUCGCCAACUGCUUGUUGAUGGCCUGAGAAGUCUUGUUAGAGGAGCUCCAAACAUGAAUACAUUGGUUGGUCUUGGGGCUUUGUCAUCCUUUGCUGUCAGCUCCCUCGCUGCUUUUAUAC